rnacentral:rRNA from 1 species
UACGGAGGGUGCUAGCGUUGUUCGGAAUUACUGGGCGUAAAGGGCGCGUAGGCGGCCGUUUGCGUCGGAUGUGAAAGCCCGGGGCUCAACCUCGGAACGGCAUUCGAUACGGAACGGCUGGAGACCGGGAGAGGAGAGUGGAAUAGCCAGUGUAGAGGUGAAAUUCGUAGAUAUUGGCUGGAACACCGGUGGCGAAAGCGGCUCUCUGGCCCGGUUCUGACGCUGAGGCGCGAAAGCGUGGGGAGCAAACAGG